rnacentral:rRNA from 1 species
UACGGAGGAUGCAAGCGUUAUCCGGAAUUAUUGGGCGUAAAGCGUCCGCAGGUGGCAGUGUAAGUCUGCUGUCAAAGCGUCUGGCUCAACCAGAUAAAGGCAGUGGAAACUACAUAGCUAGAGUAAGGUAGGGGUAGAGGGAAUUCCUGGUGUAGCGGUGAAAUGCGUAGAGAUCAGGAAGAACACCGGUGGCGAAAGCGCUCUGCUGGACCUAAACUGACACUGAGGGACGAAAGCUAGGGGAGCGAAUGGG